UACGGGGGGAGCAAGCGUUGUUCGGAUUUACUGGGCGUAAAGGGCGCGUAGGCGGCCUCUGCAAGUCGACUGUGAAAUCUCCGGGCUUAACCCGGAAAGGUCAGCCGAUACUGCAGGGCUAGAGUGCAGAAGGGGCAACUGGAAUUCUCGGUGUAGCGGUGAAAUGCGUAGAUAUCGAGAGGAACACCUGCGGCGAAGGCGGGUUGCUGGGCUGACACUGACGCUGAGGCGCGAAUGCUAGGGGAGCGAACGGG
rnacentral:rRNA from 1 species